AUUGAACGCUGGCGGCAUGCUUUACACAUGCAAGUCGAACGGCAGCGCGGGCUUCGGCCUGGCGGCGAGUGGCGAACGGGUGAGUAAUACAUCGGAACGUGCCCAGUAGUGGGGGAUAGCUCGGCGAAAGCCGGAUUAAUACCGCAUACGACCUGAGGGUGAAAGCGGGGGAACUUCGGACCUCGCGCUAUUGGAGCGGCCGAUGGCAGAUUAGCUAGUUGGUGGGGUAAAGGCCUACCAAGGCGACGAUCUGUAGCUGGUCUGAGAGGACGACCAGCCACACUGGGACUGAGACACGGCCCAGACUCCUACGGGAGGCAGCAGUGGGGAAUUUUGGACAAUGGGCGAAAGCCUGAUCCAGCAAUGCCGCGUGUGUGAUGAAGGCCUUCGGGUUGUAAAGCACUUUUGGCGGGGACGAAAAGGACUGUGCCAAUACCACGGUUCGAUGACGGUACCCGCAGAAUAAGCACCGGCUAACUACGUG
rnacentral:rRNA from 1 species